UAUCCCAUAGCUCAAUAGGUAGAGUAACUGGCUUUUAACCAGUGGGUUCUGAGUUCAAGCCUCAGUGGGAUAA
rnacentral:tRNA from 1 species